rnacentral:rRNA from 1 species
AUGAUUAGGCCAGCCAAUUCUCUAAUCCAGUUUGUUCAGGAGUUAAUUGAUGAUGUAAAUUGGAGAUGGAAGGAUGAUCUAAUCCGUAACACUUUCCUAGCACCAGACGCAGAGGCUAUCUUAAACAUACCACUACGCAAUGGUGGAGGAGAAGAUUAUUUUGCUUGGGCUUUUGAAACCUCAGGUGUUUACUUUGUCAAAUCGGCGUACCGUGCUCUCGUGAAUCAAAAGAAGCGUGUUGCUCUAGAGGAAGGGACGGCUACCGGCACCUCACAGACAGAUCAACAGACGUGGACAUCACUUUGGAAGCUCAAAGUUGUGCCAAAGGUGAGAGUAUUUUGGUGGAGAGUAAUCCGUGGAAUUCUCCCGGAUGAAGCUACCCUGAAGCACAAACAUAUUAAACCUUUAAGCAUAUGUAAUGUAUGCCUGGCAAAAGAGGAAGAUCUAAUGCAUGCGUUGGUUCAUGCUCGCAUGCAAGACGAUUCUGGGAUGAAGCCCAAACUUGGUUUGAUUUCCGUCUACCAAGGCUGCAUCCUAAUACGUGGUCAAGAGAUAUACUCUGUGAUGAUCGCUUCACGGAUCAGGUACGCGCAAAGAUUAUUUCAGCUAUGUGGGCUAUUUAGACCUCGUGCAACCGGUGGACACACGAGAAGGAGCAUACUGAUCCGGUGCAGUCUGUUCGCCGUAUUCGGGAGGAUCUUGCAGUCCUGGAGAUCCCAUGUGUAG